rnacentral:rRNA from 1 species
ACUCCCAAACCCCUGUGAACAUACCAAUUGUUGCCUCGGCGGAUCAGCCCGCUCCCGGUAAAACGGGACGGCCCGCCAGAGGACCCCUAAACUCUGUUUCUAUAUGUAACUUCUGAGUAAAACCAUAAAUAAAUCAAAACUUUCAACAACGGAUCUCUUGGUUCUGGCAUCGAUGAAGAACGCAGCAAAAUGCGAUAAGUAAUGUGAAUUGCAGAAUUCAGUGAAUCAUCGAAUCUUUGAACGCACAUUGCGCCCGCCAGUAUUCUGGCGGGCAUGCCUGUUCGAGCGUCAUUUCAACCCUCAAGCCCUCGGGUUUGGUGUUGGGGAUCGGCGAGCCCUUGCGGCAAGCCGGCCCCGAAAUCUAGUGGCGGUCUCGCUGCAGCUUCCAUUGCGUAGUAGUAAAACCCUCGCAACUGGUACGCGGCGCGGCCAAGCCGUUAAACCCCCAACUUCUGAAUGUUGACCUCGGAUCAGGUAGGAAUACCCGCUGAACUUAAGCAUAUCAAUAAGCGGAGGAAAAGAAACCAACAGGGAUUGCCCUAGUAACGGCGAGUGAAGCGGCAACAGCUCAAAUUUGAAAUCUGGCUCUCGGGCCCGAGUUGUAAUUUGUAGAGGAUACUUUUGAUGCGGUGCCUUCCGAGUUCCCUGGAACGGGACGCCAUAGAGGGUGAGAGCCCCGUCUGGUUGGAUGCCAAAUCUCUGUAAAGUUCCUUCGACGAGUCGAGUAGUUUGGGAAUGCUGCUCUAAAUGGGAGGUAUAUGUCUUCUAAAGCUAAAUACCGGCCAGAGACCGAUAGCGCACAAGUAGAGUGAUCGAAAGAUGAAAAGCACUUUGAAAAGAGAGUUAAAAAGUACGUGAAAUUGUUGAAAGGGAAGCGUUUAUGACCAGACUUGGGCUUGGUUAAUCAUCUGGGGUUCUCCCCAGUGCACUUUUCCAGUCCAGGCCAGCAUCAGUUUUCCCCGGGGGAUAAAGACUUCGGGAAUGUGGCUCUCUUCGGGGAGUGUUAUAGCCCGUUGUGUAAUACCCUGGGGGGGACUGA